UACAGAGGUCUCAAGCGUUGUUCGGAUUCAUUGGGCGUAAAGGGUGUGUAGGCGGCGCCGUAAGUCAGGUGUGAAAUCUCGGGGCUUAACUCCGAAACUGCAUUUGAUACUGCGGUGCUUGAGGACUGGAGAGGAGACUGGAAUUUACGGUGUAGCGGUGAAAUGCGUAGAUAUCUGGAGGAAUACCGGUGGCGAAGGCGGCAUCCUGGACCAAUACUGACACUGAAAAGCGAAAGCCAGGGGAGCAAACGGG
rnacentral:rRNA from 1 species